AGAGACGGGUCAGGCUGUGCUCCCCAGCCCCCUGCCAGCCGCGCCCCAACGCGCCGCGGUGUCCUGGUCGCAGCCAUGGGGACAAGGCAAACAAUCGCCAGGGGGCGCAUGAAACAAGCCGCGAACCUCGCCUCCCCCGGGGAAAGCCCAGCCGCCCGACCUGGGUGACCCUGAGGGCAUCUUUUUAAAUCGCCCAGAAGAUUCUGGCAAGCAGCCAAGAAUGAGAAACGCUGCCGCAGAGGGGAAAUCCGCAGACCGGGAGCUGCGCCCCUGGAGGGUCACAAGGAGCUCCCAGAGCACAAAGUCCCAGCAAGGAAGCUUCACUGCUGCAGACUGCGUGGGCCAGCCGGGAGACGCCACAGGGCAGUGGGCAGCUGCCAGCAGCCAGCAUAAUGGGACCAAGCGCCUGCUCCGCCUGGAGGACCUGGCUCCUCACCUUCUCAGCCCUCCUCCUGCUGCGGCCAUUCUCUAAUGGAACGCCUGUGCCUCUCUCGCCUUCCUUGGGCCAAGCAUCCAGGGGUAAGUAGAGGGAUGAGGACCUUCUGUGGGGAGGGAAGUAAGAGGGGUGGGUGGAGGUAACGCAGCCUUCAAGCAGGAGUUUUUAAACUGUAGGUCUAUGAUCAUAAGCUGCAAAAUCAAUUUGGUGCGUUAUGUAUGAGCAGAAUAAAUAUAUAUAUAAGUAAAACAAUACAUAUAUACUGUAUAAUUCCAUUUACAGAAAAUUCUAGAAAAUGCAAUCUAAUCUAUAGUGGAUCACGGGUUGCCUGGAGAUUGGGGAGUGGGGACAGGGGCUGAGAUUACAAGGGGCAUGAAGAUACUUUGGGGGUGAUGGAUAUGUUCAUUCUCUAGACUGUGCGGAUGGUUUCACGGGUGUGCAUGUCUAUCAAACUUAAAGGCUGUACACUUUAAAUAUGUGCAGUUUAUUGUACGUAAAUUAUACCUCAAUAAGGCCAUAAAAAAAUAAAGGAAACAGAAGAGAAAAACACAGAACCGGAGAGGCUAAGUCAGCCAGGAAGGAAGAGGAAGGAGUGGGUGUUAGCCAGGUGAAGGGACAAACACCAUAGGAGAUGAGGGGCAGUCCCUAGACGGGAGAUAAGAGCUGAACUAGAGGAGGGGCGGGGGGCUCCCACGGCACCCCCAGGCUGGGACCCCGCCUCCCUGCUCUGCUCAGGCCCAGGCUGAGCUGUUUCUGGCCCCCAGGCGAGGUGCUGGUAGCCCGAGUGGAGGCUUGGAGACGCUGCGGCAGUGUGGCCCUGGACCCCAAUGAUGGCACAUGGAGCUGCUGUGGGCACCACUACCCCUUCCAUCGAGCCUCCCAGAGGUGCUGCUCAACCAACAUGGAAUUCUGGGUCAUCCCCAAGGACAAUAACAAGUCAGAAUAUGACGACUGCAGGAAAUACAACGGCAAGGACCUGUAGGCUCCAGGAAGGCAUCCUUCCCAACCCUCAACUUCCCCCAACCCACCCUUUCCUCCUCAGCCUUCACUGUGAGGACGUGGGAAUUACCCGUGUCCUUUUCUUUCCAAGACUCCCCUUCUUGCCAAGUUAUGGGCCACAGGUCCCCAUGGUGUGACCUUGCAUAAGUCACCUCAUAUUUCUGGGCCUUAGGCUCAUUCUCUGCAACAGACCUAAUCAGAGAAGCUUCCAGCUCUAGUUGGGGGGAAAGGAUGAUGGCCCAAUGGCCGGGGAAGAUGAAGCCUGCAGUUCUGGAAACCCUUACCUGGGACUCUCCUUGUAGGAGGGGAGAUUUCUUUCUACUAGCAAGUGAACAGGCUGAGCUGAAGGCCCAGUUUGCUGAGUUCACCCCAUAGUGGUGCCAGAACUUCUCUCUGCACCUUCUCCCUCCUAGCAAUUCUCCUGAGCUGUAGGCCUCGUCCUCCUAGCACCUGAGAAGCAACAGGUCCAAGAGGGGAAAGAUGGGUGUUCAAGGAUGCUGACCGCAAUGAUGUUGAAAGUGGUGAGAAGUGGGAAACAACCCAUCCAGAAGCAGAUGAUUCCCAGUGCACGUGACGGUCCCCUGUGACUGGGCCUUCCUGUACCAUGAACGUAUGAAGCUCUAAAGGAUACUCCCCGACUGCCCUGACACAGGCUGGGGAUGUGACUUAGGGUCGGCCAAUGAGAACUAUCGCUCAGGAUCUGCAAGGUGGAAGGAGGAAGACAGGGCCCCCAACUGCAGCUCUGGCGGGGUUCAGCUGGAGACAGUAGACUGGGGACACGGGGGUUUCCCAAGGUGAACUUCCAGUGUCCUGUCACCAACGUCAUGGGUAUCAUGGCUUCUUGGCCCCUGGAUGGCAUUAGGUCGCUAUGUUCUUCAACACAACGCUCAAGGUGGCAGCUUCAAAGGCAGCAGCUCCCUGGGGUCAGUUCUGCGGCGUCCUUCCCAGCGGCCGAGCCAAGAGCCAGUUCAUCGAGCCCUUCCAAGGACUGUGCAAGCCUUGUCUCUGUAUUAAAUGCUUUCUGCCUAAUUUACUUGGAAAUGCACCAACAAAUGGAUGGACAGAAGGGUGGACCAACAGACUGCAGUGUGACAAAGCAAGUACGGUAAAAUGUUAGCAGGAGUAUCUUCGUGAGGGUAUGUGGGUGUGUUUCAACGUAAAAUUCUUUCAAUGUAGCCAUAUGAAAAUGCCCCUAAUAAAGUGCUGAGAAAAUGUCUUUUUUCUUAAAAGAGCCGAAGUGUUUUCUCUUUCCUCUAGGCAAACUGUGAUGAUGUAGGGGUCCCUGGAAAUGACCAGUUUUCUAUGGCUGAUGUGGCAUGGGGCCCUG